AUCGCUUCUCGGCCUUUUGGCUAAGAUCAAGUGUAGAAAACAAAGAACACAAAGAUAAGGGUAAAGAGGUUUCUUACCUAUAUUUUUCUUACUUUAAAAAUUGGGUAUUUUUAAAACACCCCAUUUACAUGUCAAAUGUUAUCCCUUUUCCGGUUUCCUUUCCAUAAAUCUC
ensembl:snRNA U2 U2 spliceosomal RNA